GUGAGGAAUUUUCCGCAAUGGGCGAAAGUCUGACGGAGCAAUGCCGCGUGAAGGAUGAAGGCCUAUGGGUUGUAAACUUCUUUUCUCAGAAAAGAAUUAUGACGGUAUCUGAGGAAUAAGCAUCGGCUAACUCUGUGCCAGCAGCCGCGGUAAGACAGAGGAUGCAAGCGUUAUCCGGAAUGAUUGGGCGUAAAGCGUCUGUAGGUUGUUUAAAAAGUAUUCUGUCAAAGAUUAGGGCUUAACCCUAGAUAGGCAGAAUAAACUUUUAAGCUAGAGGUUGGUAGAGGCAGAGGGAAUUCCCGGUGGAGCGGUGAAAUGCGUAGAUAUCGGGAGGAACACCAAAGGCGAAGGCACUCUGCUGGGCCAAUACUAACACUGAGAGACGAAAGCGAGGGGAGCAAAUGGGAUUAGAUACCCUGGUAGUCC
rnacentral:rRNA from 1 species